UACGUAGGGGGCUAGCGUUGUCCGGAAUCAUUGGGCGUAAAGCGCGUGUAGGCGGUCCGGUAAGUCCGCUGUGAAAGUCGGGGGCUCAACCCUCGAAUGCCGGUGGAUACUGUCGGGCUAGAGUGCGGAAGAGGCGAGUGGAAUUCCUGGUGUAGCGGUGAAAUGCGCAGAUAUCAGGAGGAACACCAAUUGCGAAGGCAGCUCACUACACGAAUAUUGACACUGAGGCACGAAAGCGUGGGGAUCAAACAGG
rnacentral:rRNA from 1 species